UACGAAGGGGGCUAGCGUUGUUCGGAAUUACUGGGCGUAAAGCGCGCGCAGGCGGCUAUCCAAGUCAGUGGUGAAAGCCCGGAGCUCAACUCCGGAACUGCCAUUGAAACUGUUUAGCUUGAGGAUGAGAGAGGUGAGUGGAAUUCCCAGUGUAGAGGUGAAAUUCGUAGAUAUUGGGAAGAACACCGGUGGCGAAGGCGGUGGUCUGGGCCUGAACUGACGCUGAGGAGCGAAAGCCAGGGGAGCAAACGGG
rnacentral:rRNA from 1 species